AAUGCUUUGGUAUUCACAUGUUUAUUUCUAUUGUUUGCAUUGGGACAACACAAAAAAGCAGAGAAGAAAAGCCCAAUCUGACAUGAUUCCACACGACUCCAAUUUUUUUUACUUGACUUACACUUCACUAGCCCGACAGAGGAAAUUCAAAUCCACCCUGUGAUAGAAUAACAAUCACAAUAGGCAAGGCAACCUGGCGACAUGGGCAUUAGGCACAAAACGAAUAACCCACCUACAUGCACACACCAGAGAGCAUGCUAAAAAGCAUGCAUCAUACAUUUGUAACCCUGCCUGUACAUACAUGCUUCACGUCAUCAAUUGUGCUGUUGAUAUUGCAGUGGGAACAAAGCGUUGGCUGAGAUGAGCUCCAAACCUUGCAGCCGAUAGGAGCAGUAAGUAAGUAAGUAAGUAAGUAAGUAAGUAAGUACAUUUGUACAGGUACAGGUCUGAGUACAGGUACAGGUCUGAGUACAGGUCUGAGUACAGGUACAGGUCUGAGUACAGGUCUAAGUACAGGUCUGAGUACAGGUCUGAGUACAGGUCUGAGUACAGGUACAGGUCUAAGUACAGGUACAGGUCUAAGUACAGGUCUGAGUACAGGUACAGGUCUGAGUACAGGUACAGGUCAGAGUACAGGUCUGAGUACAGGUACAGGUCUGAGUACAGGUCUGAGUACAGGUAC
ensembl:lncRNA